GAAAAAAAAAAAAAAAAGCAUCUUUAUGAAAACAUGCCUUCAGAAGCAGUAACAGCAGAAAAAAAUGCAUGUCUCUGUCCGGGCUGGGAUGUGAGGGAGAAAAUAGCUUGGUGUCUGCAGUAGGGCAGAAGCAGGGCAGUCCUGCCAUGUACUGCUAGAGGCAAGAGGGAAAACCUGAGGACAGAAGCCUUUAAGAUGGGAGUGCUGCCAUGAGAAGUUAUAGCAGGGGAAGGCUGUGAAGGGAGCCUAGAGGAGCGUGGAGAUGGAAGGGCAGCCAGAUUGGGUCAAGUGUCAUCAGGUGUGUAACAAGAGGCAAGCAUAGGGUCUGGAUUUGGGUUACUGAGUGAAGUGAGAGGUGGAGAGAGCAGCAGACAAGACUGUAAGCAGAGCAAAAAAGUUGAAAAAUGAUAAAUAAAAUUAAAAAGUAAAAUAAACAGGUUAGUGUCACAUCUUGUCCAGAAGGGGAAGGAAGAGGUGACCAGAUUCCUUUACACUUAGUGCGGUCCCUGUGUCUCCUGUGUGGUUGCUGCUGAUGUGUGAAAUUCAGGUCACUUGCCAGAUGGUGUUGUUAGCCACCUCUGGAGUGUCUGCUUCUAGGAAGCUUAGAGCAUCUCCUUCCAGGAAGAAGGAUGGAAGGAUGGGCUUUCACCUGUUUUUCUUAGAGACGCACCAGGAAGGAGCACUCUUGAACUGUAACACUGCUAAAGAGAAAAAGAGCUGGAGCUGAAGAAAAGGGCAAAGCUCGCACCAGAGCCACACGGAGAGCGCUCUGCAGAGAGGACGGCUGCACGCAGUGAGACGUAGGAAGAGGUGACAGAUUGUGAUCUCAGUCUCUCCAAGACAGACAAAUGAGGGAUACUGUAACCCGGCUGGAGGAGUGUUUGCUUGCCUUCAUUUGUCUGCACAUCAUCCCAUGAGCCAACUUUUGAAUUGACUGAAAGAAAGCAUCUUCGAGGCUUCCCCCUGCAUUACGAGUUGGACUCAGCGAUCCUUUUGGGUCCCUUCCAACUCAGGAUAUUCUCUCAUUCUAUGUCUGUGCACUCCUGACUUUCAAAGAAAUCUCACAAUUUUCCAGUGAUGGCAGAACUCACUUUGCUGCAUCAGAAUAUCUGCUCUACCCAAGGCUCCUCUGCAAUGUAGUCGUGGCUGGGAAAGCUCCUAGACAAAACCUGUGGGAUAAGUUGAACCCAAAGAAGAGUACCUGCAGUGGGACACAGCUGUAUGUUGAGUAACGUCCUUGGGAUCUCCAAACAUGAUGAUGCAGCCAGGGAAACCAUCAACAUUCUUAGCAUUCUGUUUUAGUUGGACUGAUGAAAAAUAAAGUAACAGUGCCUGGGUUAAGCUUCUGAGCUUCUCAAAUCAGAGAUGCGGGUGGGAGAUGCUUCUUACUUCUUCCAAUGUUCAAUUCAAUUGAGCAAAGUCAAAUAUUCCAAAGCAAAAUAAUUAAGUCCUCAAAACACAAAGUCUUUCCCCCAUUCACACACGAAAGGAUGCUUUCAUAGACUCACAGAAUAUCCUGAGUUGGUAUAGACCAAUAAGGACCCCUUCCCAUAGCGUUCAGUGUAUUCUGGUUUUUUCUUCCUUCGGAACAAAAACAAUGGAGUGACAAUGUCUAACAGAAAAAUGAAUGUUUCAGAGUGCUAGAUGAGAUGCAGCAUGGCACAUAAAUUAUGGUCGGGUAAGGAUCAUCAGUAAAGUUGCUUUAUUCAAGUGGCAUGGUAAACAAAUGCUAUAAAUUCCUAAGUAGAGCCUAAAUCAGCUUUUGGCAUAGUGCAUCACUAUAACAAGUUAAUUUUCGCUGCUCCAAGGAAUAGCCUUAUAUGGUUCACUUAAGUAAUCAUGCUAAAUGAAUGUUUAAGUGAGAACCAUUUGCCAAAUGUAAAGCAAGAACCAUAUAUAACCUCUUACACAACUACAUAACACAGCAAUGCUGGCUGGUUUCCAACAUUCUGGUUUAUGUACGAAUUAGAUCUGCUGACUCCAACCAACACCUGAGCCAAAAAGGAGCUACCUGAAAAUACUAGCACAACUGUUAAGGAUUAAUAAAUAAAUUUGCCCUGGUCUGUCCUCCUCACAGCCAGGCAAAUGAGAUUUUCUUCUCUUUUCCAGUAUAGGAUAGAAUAGUUCCAGCCUUUACUCUCAUCUCUUUGCUGAGAAAGAAGAAAUAAGAAAGUAAUAAGAAAAAAAAAGAGAAUAUCAGUACGCCAAAAGCUUUUCUGGUUACCCCAAAAGAAAUUUGACCUUCCAGUCUGGUGUACCAUGCUUCCAGCAUCCAUGCUGAUUCUGUGGUGCUUUUGUCUUACAGCCAUUAGGGGCCACACGAAAUAUACUCAGAGAAACCAAUUGCACUGUAAUUGGUUGAAGCUUACUACUGACUGCCCCCUGCCCUUGGAUCUCCCACCACCUGUAAAUGUGGGAAGAUAAGCUCAUAGGAAUAACUGAAAAAGUUCAGGGAGACCUGCCUAUGUCUAUUAGUCAUCAUUCAUCCUUUGUAGCAAGAAAACCUGCAGUAGAUGCAGGCUUACUUCUUCCUAGAGAGUGCUGUUGAGUUCUUGCAUUCACAAUAAAUCUGUUUGGAAGACUGCCCUUAAAGAGUUGCCAUGGUGAUUAUUUUGGUGCUGCAAAGUAGAAGAAGCUAAAGUACUUACUAGCCAUUUCCAAAAUCUCAUCUUUUGGGAGAGGAAAAAAAGAGAGAAAUCGCCAGAUGGCAUUUGUCAGAAAUCCGACAUUCUGAUUAUUACUGGAGCUGUUUUUGAAGGAAUUCUGGGGUUUGGGGUUUCUGGCCAGAAAAGGGAGAAUGGAAGGGCUGAGGGGAAAGAAAUGGAAAAACAAAGUCACUAUAUUUGAAGUCCCUUUAGCUUGCAUUAUUACAAUGGUUUAGGAAGAGUUCUUACAAGAGUAGGACUUAAGUAAUGAGAAUUUUCAAAAAGUCUCCUUCCUGACCAUUUACUUAAUACUUAGCAUACUGUAAAAUGAGGGGAAAUUGUUAUCUCCUUGUGAAAACAUCACCAGCUUCUAAAUGGAAAUUAUAGCUCUCUUUUGCACCUUACCUGUAACGGUAACAUCAAUGGAACAUGAGAGAUGUCCCAAAAAAUCCAGGUGUCAGUCUUCCUACUCUGAAUAGUACCAGUGCAGAAAUGGAGCUUAUCAAACUAAAACUAGGCUGUGCACUUGCUUUGGCUCUAACCAAGGUGAACUUGGGGUGAUUUAGUGAAAUUAGUGCACCUUGUCACUUCACUGCAAAAAGAAAAUAGAAGAAGGAA